rnacentral:rRNA from 1 species
UCCGUAGGUGAACCUGCGGAAGGAUCAUUAUCGAAUUUAAGGCUUUGGUUGAGCUGGCGCUGCGGUGCAUGUGCUUGCCUUGUGCUGUCCAUUCUUCAACACCUGUGCACACUUUGUAGUUGACUCUUUUGUUUAUCUGUUCAUCUCUCUCUUGACUCCGGUCUCUGUGAAGGGGUGCGUGGCUUUUCGAAAGCAAGGUCCUCUAUGUUAUUAUUAUACACCCUUUACAAAAACAAGUCCAUAGAACGUCCAAUGUAGGCGCAGCGUAAAACACUGUUUGCUGAAAUUAUAAAACUUAUACAACUUUUAACAACGGAUCUCUUGGCUCUCGCAUCGAUGAAGAACGCAGCGAAAUGCGAUAAGUAAUGUGAAUUGCAGAAUUCAGUGAAUCAUCGAAUCUUUGAACGCACCUUGCGCUCCCUGGUAUUCCGGGGAGCAUGCCUGUUUGAGUGUCAUUAAAUUCUCAACCACACUAUGUUUUUAUUAANGUAGUUCUUGUGGCUUGGAUCUUGGAGUUUGUGCCGGUAAACCUUUAGUUAGGUUGUUGGCUCCUCUUUAAAUGCAUUAGCUGGAACCUCUUUGUGGUGCCAGACUAUGGUGUGAUAAUUAUCUACGCUGUGGUUUGUUGNGCUGCGAAUUUAACUAUGGGGUUCUGCUUCUAAUCGUCCCUUUCAAAGGACAGUAUAGAGUGUGGUGGUGGGGUUGCUUUCAAGGGGUUCGCCUCUUGUGUUACAAUCUUGCCCUUUACCUCUUAUUGACAUUUUGACCUCAAAUCAGGUAGGACUACCCGCUGAACUUAAGCAUAUCAAUAAGCGGAGGA